CUGGGCGUAAAGCGUGCGCAGGCGGAUUGUUAAGCAAGACGUGAAAGCCCCGGGCUUAACCUGGGAAUGGCGUUUUGAACUGGCAGUCUAGAGUGCGUCAGAGGGGGGUGGAAUUCCACGUGUAGCAGUGAAAUGCGUAGAGAUGUGGAGGAACACCAAUGGCGAAGGCAACCCCCUGGGAUGACACUGCCGCUCAUGUACGAAAGCGUGGGUAGCAAACAGGAUUAGAUACCCUGGUAGUCCACGCCCUAAACGACAUCAACUGGUUGUUGGGGGAGUGAAAUCCCUUAGUAACGAAGCUAACGCGUGAAGUUGACCGCCUGGGGAGUACGGUCGCAAGAUUAAAACUCAAAGGAAUUGACGGGGACCCGCACAAGCGGUGGAUGAUGUGGAUUAAUUCGAUGCAACGCGAAAAACCUUACCUACCCUUGACAUGUCCAGGAUCCUGCAGAGAUGCGGGAGUGCCCGAAAGGGAAUUGGAACACAGGUGCUGCAUGGCUGUCGUCAGCUCGUGUCGUGAGAUGUUGGGUUAAGUCCCGCAACGAGCGCAACCCUUAUCAUUAGUUGCUACGCAAGGGCACUCUAAUGAGACUGCCGGUGACAAACCGGAGGAAGGUGGGGAUGACGUCAAGUCCUCAUAGCCCUUAUGGGUAGGGCUUCACACGUCAUACAAUGGUCGGUACAGAGGGUUGCCAAGCCGCGAGGUGG
rnacentral:rRNA from 1 species